CAGCAGCCGCGGUAAUACGUAGGUGGCAAGCGUUGUCCGGAAUUAUUGGGCGUAAAGAGCUCGCAGGCGGUUUCUUAAGUCUGAUGUGAAAGCCCCCGGCUCAACCGGGGAGGGUCAUUGGAAACUGGGAAACUUGAGUGCAGAAGAGGAGGGUGGAAUUCCACGUGUAGCGGUGAAAUGCGUAGAGAUGUGGAGGAACACCAGUGGCGAAGGCGACCCUCUGGUCUGUAACUGACGCUGAGGAGCGAAAGCGUGGGGAGCGAACAGGAUUAGAUACCCCAGUAGUCCCUGUCUCUUAUAC
rnacentral:rRNA from 1 species